rnacentral:rRNA from 1 species
AUACCGCAUAANGUCGCAAGACCAAAGUGGGGGACCUUCGGGCCUCAUGCCAUCAGAUGUGCCCAGAUGGGAUUAGCUAGUAGGUGGGGUAACGGCUCACCUAGGCGACGAUCCCUAGCUGGUCUGAGAGGAUGACCAGCCACACUGGAACUGAGACACGGUCCAGACUCCUACGGGAGGCAGCAGUGGGGAAUAUUGCACAAUGGGCGCAAGCCUGAUGCAGCCAUGCCGCGUGUGUGAAGAAGGCCUUCGGGUUGUAAAGCACUUUCAGCGGGGAGGAAGGCGAUNAGGUUAAUAACCUNNUCGAUUGACGUUACCCGCAGAAGAAGCACCGGCUAACUCCGUGCCAGCAGCCGCGGUAAUACGGAGGGUGCAAGCGUUAAUCGGAAUUACUGGGCGUAAAGCGCACGCAGGCGGUCUGUCAAGUCGGAUGUGAAAUCCCCGGGCUCAACCUGGGAACUGCAUUCGAAACUGGCAGGCUAGAGUCUUGUAGAGGGGGGUAGAAUUCCAGGUGUAGCGGUGAAAUGCGUAGAGAUCUGGAGGAAUACCGGUGGCGAAGGCGGCCCCCUGGACAAAGACUGACGCUCAGGUGCGAAAGCGUGGGGAGCAAACAGGAUUAGAUACCCUGGUAGUCCACGCCGUAAACGAUGUCGAUUUGGAGGUUGUGCCCUUGAGGCGUGGCUUCCGGAGCUAACGCGUUAAAUCGACCGCCUGGGGAGUACGGCCGCAAGGUUAAAACUCAAAUGAAUUGACGGGGGCCCGCACAAGCGGUGGAGCAUGUGGUUUAAUUCGAUGCAACGCGAAGAACCUUACCUGGUCUUGACAUCCACAGAACAUUCCAGAGAUGGAUUGGUGCCUUCGGGAACUGUGAGACAGGUGCUGCAUGGCUGUCGUCAGCUCGUGUUGUGAAAUGUUGGGUUAAGUCCCGCAACGAGCGCAACCCUUAUCCUUUGUUGCCAGCGGUUAGGCCGGGAACUCAAAGGAGACUGCCAGUGAUAAACUGGAGGAAGGUGGGGAUGACGUCAAUUCAUCAUGGCCCUUACGACCA